rnacentral:rRNA from 1 species
UACGGAGGGUGCAAGCGUUAUCCGGAUUCACUGGGUUUAAAGGGUGCGUAGGAGGGCAGGUAAGUCAGUGGUGAAAUCUCCGAGCUUAACUCGGAAACUGCCGUUGAUACUAUCUGUCUUGAAUCCCGUGGAGAUGAGCGGAAUAUGUCAUGUAGCGGUGAAAUGCUUAGAUAUGACAUAGAACACCAAUUGCGAAGGCAGCUCGUUACACGAAGAUUGACUCUGAGGCAUGAAAGCGUGGGGAUCAAACAGG